rnacentral:misc_RNA from 1 species
GGGUGGUAUCCACCGAAUAGCAAGGGUAGAAUUCGGGAUUCUUCAGACAAAUUGCCUUUGUUAUCUCUACAAGUCUUCUUCUAGUCCUCAACGCUCCCUCUACCUUUUUUUUGUUCUCUCUCUCUACAUCUGCAUACGUUCAAAAAUUAUCAGCUCAGAUCCUUCGGAUUCAUCAUGGCUAACGCUGCAUCAGGCAUGGCUGUGCACGAUGAUUGCAAACUGAAAUUUUUGGAGUUGAAAACUAAAAGGGCUUUCCGCUUCAUAGUAUUCAAGAUCGAAGAAAAGCAAAUCAUUGUGGAAAAGCUUGGUGAGCCAGCUGAAAGUUAUGAGGACUUCUGUACACACCUGCCUGCAGAUGAGUGUCGUUAUGCAGUCUAUGAUUUUGACUUUCUGACAAAGGAAAGUGUCCCAAAGAGCAGGAUUUUCUUUAUUGCAUGGUGUCCCGAUACCUCUAAGGUUAGAAGCAAAAUGAUCUAUGCUAGUUCCAAGGAUAGAUUUAAGAGGGAGCUGGACGGAAUUCAGAUUGAGCUGCAAGCAACUGAUCCUACUGAGAUGGGUCUGGAUGUUUUCAAAAGCCGUGCCAACUAAAUAAACAUCUCUAGUACAACAUUGGAUGUUCUCUUUACUUUGUGGAAGAGAAAUGUUAAUAUUUGUUGGGACAGGAGGGGUCGGCUUUGUUGUUAAACUCUAUUUGAAAGGCUUGUCAACUUGUAGACAUUAUGUGGUUUUGAUCUUAUUUUGUGAUGUUUGUGUGUGGAACUCAUACCAUAAGUAGCUUUUGGGGCUGGUACGAAUCAAAAUUGUUACUGGAUUGUUCCUUCUUUUGACUUUGUAUGUUCUGUUGCAACUUUUGUAAUCCAUUUAUUCAUUAUAAUGCUGGUUGGUUGGCCGCUGCUGCG